rnacentral:lncRNA from 1 species
GAGAUACUCCAUUGAAUUAGAUUCAUCACCAGUUAACACGUAAACAUAAGUAUCAUUGGUGCUCAGGCAAGCAACAGGCAUGUACAUGUCAGCCUGGACGACACGAGCAAGCUUUGCGGCCCGCUCGUGGCCCGUUCAGGACCGGACCGUACGGUCCAGGCCCGGUAGAAAAACAGGACGGGCCAGGCCCAGAAAUACAGACCGCAAAAAGUUCGGUCCGGUCCGGUCUUUAACCGGGCCGACCGAGCGGACCGCUGGCGCAGCAAGGCCCAUCUGGCUGGACAGAUCGAGGCAUCGAGCGAACCCCCUCCCCUCGUUCCAUUCCCCCUCCCCCCCUCCCCUCGCUCUCCUCUCCUCACAGCGCCUCCUCCUCUCCAAUCCCAAACCCUAACCCUUCAUCGACGGCGCCAUCGCCCGCGGCUUCUCCCCUUCAUCGACGGCGCCAUCGCCCGCGGCCUCUCCCCUUCAUCGACGGCGCCAUCGCCCGCGGCCUCUCCCCUUCAUCGACGGCGCCAUCGCCCGCGGCCUCUCCCCUUCAUCGACGGUGCCAUCUCGUCCGAGUACGAGCUGGAGGAGCACGUGUACGUCGGGGACGCAGCAAGGCCAGCACGCCAUCGGUCCCGUCUUCCCUGGUUCCUCGCCGAGCGCCACGAAGAGGAAGAGGUAACCUGACCUGUAACCCCGCCAAACUGAGAUGAUUCAGUGCUGAACUUAGAUAGGUGAUCUAGAGAUCUAGUGUUUGAACAAGAAACUUUCUGAAUUUUCUGAACUUAUGUAAGAGUUUCUGAAUUUUCUGAACUUAUGUAACAGUUUCUGAAUUUUCUGAACUAAUGUAUCUAGAGUUUCUGAAUUUUCUGAACUAAUGUAAUAGUUUCAGUAGAUGUAGUGUUUCAACAGUAAACUUUAGUCAAGAGAUUAUACUGAAAAGUGACAAUAGUUUCUGAAAAAAUGCUUGAUUAUGCACUAUUGCUAGAUGACUAUAUGUUUGUUUGCACUAGUACUAGCUGAUUUAACACGUUUGGUCAGGAGAUGUAGUUCUGGAGAGUAGACAGUAUGUGCAGAACAAGGUUUUCUAUGCUACAACAAGAAGAAGAUGAAUUAUUUGCACUUGAUGGUUGAUGUACUGACUGUAGAUAUUAUGUGCUAUUUUUUUUUUGUAGAGAAUGGUGAAGGAGAAGGGGAAUGAGAAGGGAAAGGGUGCUGGUAAGGAGAAUGGGAAGCCGAAGGGUGCUGGUAAGGAGAAUGGGAAGGCAAAGGCAAAGGAAAAGAGCUUGAAUUACCUAAUUAGGCAAGAUUCGGCGCUGCCUCCUCUAGUUCCGAGGAAGAAGAGCAAACCUAAGGUGCAGAUUAAGAAGGCGAAAGACUUUCCCAAUGCCCCAAUGGGAGAGUUAAUUUGUAGGUUAAAAAAACACCCUCCGCCUCCUCCGCGUCUCCCCGACCGCACCGGUGCCGGCGUGCGUGCCGCGGAAGCCGCUGCCUCCUCAUGCAUCUACUAUUGUGGUAGAGGACGAGGAGAAGGAGGAGGACGACGAGGACGAGGACAUGGAUGAGGACAAGGACAAGGAAUAUGAGGAGCAGAAUCUGUUUGUGGUUCCGCCAUUGCAAGCGGGUGCUGAUAUGUCGGAUGAUGAUACAUCAGAGGGGUAUAAGGAAUCAGCAGAUGAACUGGAAGGUGACACUAUGUCCGAGGAAUCACUUGUGCAUGUUGUCUCUAGUGAGGAGGAGGCAAGAGAAAGGAAAAGGAAAAAGAACAAGAGGCCAAGAGCCAAUGCUCCCGUUAGGACGUCAUCCAAUGUUUGGGCCCAUUUUCACAAGGUCAAGGAGCCAGAUGAGAAGACUGGAGAGAUUGUGUUGAAGGCUGUUUGUAAUUAUUGUAUUGAUAAGAAGUAUGCGUAUACGCAAGGUGGCAGCACCUCAACUAUUGGAAGGCAUCAUUUAAAAUGUAAGAAUUACAAGGCCAAGAUGGCUAGGGAUGCCAUCCAAACAACUCUGGAAUUGCGCAAAAUCAAUGGUACAGCAAGUGGUCCAACAAUGCACCCCUCUAUUGAGUAUGACCAAGGAAUUGUGAAGGAGCUUAUUGCUAAGAUGAUAUGUGUGCAUGAGUAUUCAUUUAGAAUGGUUGAACAUGAGUGGUUCAGCAUUCUAAUGAAGUGCAUGAAUCCAAAUUAUAAACCCAUUGGAAGGAAGGCAAUACGAGCCGAGUGCAUGAGGGUCUACAAGAAAGAAAAAGAGGUGCUUAAAUCUGUCCUAAAGGGUGUGAGCUCCAUAUGUCUAACUACAGAUUUGUGGACAAGCAACCAAACCUUAUCUUACAUGUGUGUGGUUGCACACUACAUAGAUGGGAAUUGGAAUAUGCAAACCCGUGUUCUUGCUUUCAUAGAGUUGGACCCUCCUCACUCUGGAAAUGUCAUUGCGGAUGCUCUCUAUGCUUGUGUGACAGAAUGGAAUAUUGAGACCAAAAUAAUGUCCGUCACACUUGACAACGCUUCAAACAAUGAUGGUGCAGUCGAUGCUUUGAAGGCCAAGUUCUCGUUUCGGAGAGGUAUGCUUGUAUGCAUUCUGUUUUUACACAUAUGCUUGUUGUUUUUGCUCAUAUGCUUGUUGCUAUGCUCAUAUAGAAGCUCUUUGUGCUCAUAUGCUUGCUGUUUUUGCCCACAUGUUUGCUGUUUUUGCUCACAUGCUUGCUAUAUUUGCUCACAUGCUUGCUAUUUUUGCUCAUAUAAAAGUUGUCUAUUGUAGGUAAUGACUUCGAAGGACAGUAUUUUCAUAUCCGUUGUUGUGCACACAUCCUCAACUUGGUCGUGCAAGAUGGGACGGAGGUCUUAGAUAAUUUGAUAAACAGCUUGAGAGAGACGGUGAAGUACUUCAAGAGGUCACCUUCUCGUCUCCAUGCUUUUGUUGCCACUUGCAAAAGCUUGGGUGUCAAAGUUGGUAAUCAUUUACACCUGGAUUGUAAAACAAGGUGGAGUUCAACCUAUAAGAUGAUUAGCAUUGCCCGUGAUUAUAAGGAAGCCUUGACCUCUCAUGCCGGUUCCAAUGCCAACUAUGCUUGGGCGCCGACAAACGCAGAGUGGGACAUGUAUGACCUUAUCUCUCCAUUACUUGAGAGUUUGGCUGAGGUGACAAAUGCAUUUUCAGGAAGUUUAUAUCCCACUUCGAACAUCUUCUAUCCAUACAUUGUUGGUGUCAAGCUUGCAAUCAAACGUGCAAUGACUAGUGAUAGUGACCACUACAAGGAAAUGGGUGAAGCAAUGUUGGAGAAGUUUGACAAAUAUUGGGAAGAAAAGAACAAUGCCAUGGUGAUCGCAACCGUCUUUGAUCCACGGUACAUAUGCUUGCUGUUUUCACUCCAAUGUUUUUUUAUUCAUGUGCUUGCUGUUUUUUUAUUAUUGUGCUUGCUAUUUUUUUAUUAUUGUGCUUGCUGUUUUUUUAUUCAUGUGCUUGCUAAUUCACUCCAAUGCUAUCAUCUUUCAUCCUAGGUACAAGAUGAAUUACAUAGAGUGGGCCUUUGGAGAACUAUAUGGAGUAGGAAGUACGAGGUGUAGGACUGAGAUGAAAAUCGUGGAGAAAGAGUUGGCGACCUUGUAUGACAAAUGUGUUUCCCAAGAUAAGCGAGCUGGAAAUGGAGAAAGUGUAUCUUCCUCUAUAAACAUUCCUAGUAUCCCGGUUCAAGCUGGGUAUGAGUCCUUCUUAUCGUCCCGUUCAACAAGAAUAUCAAAAAGUGAGUUGAGGAACUACUUAGAGGAUGCGGUUGAACCUCGCAACAAGGCUCUUGAUCUUCUUGGUUGGUGGAAAGUCAAUGCUCCUAGGUACCCAAUUAUGGCCAAGAUAGCCAGGAGGUUCCUUACUAUCCCGGCUACCUCCGUGUCUUCAGAAUCUACCUUCAGCACGACCGGAAGGAUUUUAGGUAUGUCAACUCGUACUAAUGAACUUUGGAUAUAAACUUGUCAAGUUCUCAUCCUCAAACUAGUUUGUCUACUUGUGUGUAUUAGAUGACUACAGGAGUUCGUUAAAACCGGUUAUGGUGGAGGCAUUAGUUUGUGGUGCAAGUUAUAUAAAGGGUGCUCACGUUGACUUGAAUCUGGUGGUAUGUUUGCCAUCUUUUCCUUACCCUUUUCUUUCUUUCUUUUUUGGUCUUGUUGUGAUGUGAGCAUUUGUCGAACUUCCACACUUGUAGCCGAGGGAUGAGAAUGAAGAGGAUGAUGUUGAAACCAUCAAGUUACCCAUCGUGGAGGAGAUCAACGAUUGGUAACAAUUCUUCCUACAUGUUUCACUUGGUAUACGAUACCAAACAUUAUUUAUGUGAAUGUUGCUUAUCUUGUAGACACUCAUCAUGUGGAUGUUGAUCUUGAUCUUGCUAUUUUGGAGACGAAUGUCAAAGUGAUCUUUCUCAUGGGAAGGCUACUUUUGCAUUUGGGUUAUGUUCGAACUUGUCAAGUCAUGAACUGUGAAAUGUCACAACUAGCUUGGAGAUGAACCUCUCAUUUGUGUUAUGUUCAACUUGCCAAUUGACAUGGACUUGAAAUUGUCAUUGCAAGUUUGUAAUCGUGUCGUUCAAUGAUGAUAAGACAUUAUGUUUGUGGAUGUGGUAUUUGUGUUGCUUAACCUGAUUUGUGCUAUGUUUGCUGUCAAAAUCAGUUGUUUUGAUGUCCAAAAAACAAAGGAAAUGCUGUCCGAAUGUAGUUAUUUUUACUGUCCAAAUUUAGUCCAGUGCCUGCUGUCCAAAUGAAUUGUUUGUGGAUGUGAUAUAUCUGCUGUUCCUGUCCAAACUUACCUGAAAAUGUAGUGAGGAGUGAUGACUUAUCAUAUUACAUCCAUUCGUAAGCUUGUCACUAUGUGAUGCCUAAACAGUAGCUAAACUUAUCUACUUGUUGUUGCACUUUUGCUUUAUUUACUCUCCAAAAACAACAGAUGCCUAAACUGAUGACUAGUCUAUUGCAUGUUCUAGCAUACACUUUGCUCCUUCUCUGAAUAAUAGGACCGGCAGCAUGCAUAUGUCCACGUACAGUCAGUAGCUCAGCUAGUUUCGCUCAAGACCAGGUCAUGGGAUGGAUCGUGCGAUCGGCAGCUACCUGCAACUGCAUAAACAACAGCUAAAUAUGACCUAUACGCAGCAAAAUACAGUCUGCCAGGCAAGGUGACGGGCCGGUCCAUUCGGUCCUCUCGGGCUUGACCGAGCUGGCCCCCAAACGGUCCGGUCCCAGAAAAGGAGCUCGUUGGACAGCUCGGUCCGGUCCGGACCGGACCGCCGGCGGCCGGUCCAAGUGGCGGCUCGGACCGGGACCGGACCGGCCCGGACCGUGUCCACCCUGAUGUACAUGCCAUUGUCCUUUACUUCCCGAGAGCAUUUAAGAAAGCAAGCCUGACUACGUGAAAGGGGUUCCAAUUCGACUUCCAUGUUGUAAUGGUAUCUAGAGGGAGGCCGAUUCCACCGAGGUAGAGGGCAGCUGUUGUAUAAAUCCAUGUUGGCAUCGAUGACCCAGAAGGAAGAACCACUGUAGUUGAUGGCAGGCACAUAGUAUGUUGCAUCGUCGAUGCGAAUUGCGGCCUUGGUAUCACUGCAAAUUAGCUCAUAAGAUUGAUAACCACACCCAGGAGGAUCACUUGCCUGACGAAAUGGGAACGAUACAUUUCUAAGAGGGCCGCACGAGAAAGAAGGACAAUCAGGGUCAUGAUGCCGCCCUUCAGCCUGACUUGCAGCAAGAACUGCAAGCACACAUAAGAAGGUUAGGGAGUUGAGAACAGCGGGCAUCACCAUGGCAAGCUGUUUCACAGAAGCACAGAUACACAGAGGAACGGUCAAAUGAAGGUGUGGCUGCCAAAGUUUUUAUUUUUCUUAACUCCAAAAGUGGGUUUUUCGUUGGGGCGUAACCCUCUCAGCAACGCGCCACAUCGGAACCCGGGUGUGGUGGAAAAUGGGCAAGGGCCGGGCCGUCACCCCCCAAGUGGCGCGCCGUAUCUUGAUCCGGAUACGGUGGCAAGUGAGCGAGGAUCGGGUCGUCGCAUCCUUAGUGGCGCGCUACAUCGGCGCCCGGAUGUAGUGGAAAAUGAGCAAGGGUCUUCGCAUUUGACUUGACGAGUGCGAAGGGUAAGGAAGCUAGCCGGGCCUAGGAGGAUUCGCUUAGGUAGCUGGAACGUAGGGUCUCUGACAGGGAAGCUUCGGGAGCUAGUUGAUGCAGCAGUGAGGAGAGGUGUUGAUAUCCUUUGCGUCCAAAAAACCAAAUGGAGAGGACAGAAGGCGAAAGAGGUGGAGGAUACCGGCUUCAAGCUGUGGUACACGGGGACGGCUACAAACAGAAAUGGCGUAGGCAUCUUGAUCAACAAGAGCCUCAAGUAUGGAGUGGUAGACGUCAGGAGACGUGGGGACCGGAUUAUCCUGGUCAAGCUGGUAGUUGAGGACUUGGUUCUCAAUGUUAUCAGCGCAUAUGCCCCGCAAGUAGGCCACAAUGAGAACACCAAGAGGGAGUUCUGGGAAGGCUUGGAAGACAUGGUUAGGAGUGUACCGAUUGGUGAGAAGCUCUUCAUAGGAGGAGACCUCAAUGGCCACGUGGGUACAUCUAACACAGGUUUUGAAGGGGCGCAUGGGGGCUUUGGCUAUGGCAUCAGGAAUCAAGAAGGAGAAGAUGUCUUAAGCUUUGCUCUAGCCUACAACAUGAUUGUAGCUAACACCCUCUUUAGAAAGAGAGAAUCACAUCUGGUGACUUUUAGUAGUGGCCAACACUCUAGCCAGAUUGAUUUCAUCCUCUCGAGAAGAGAAGAUAGGCGUGCGUGCCUAGACUGUAAGGUGAUACCUGGGGAGAGUGUUGUACCCCAGCAUAAGCUGGUGGUUGCUGACUUCCGCUUUCAGAUUCGUGUCCAGCGGGAUAAGCGUGCCAAGGUCGCUAGAACGAAGUGGUGGAAGCUCAAGGGGGAGGUAGCUCAGGUGUUCAAGGAGAGGGUAUUUAAGGAGGGCCCUUGGGAGGAAGGAGGGGAUGCGGACAAUGUGUGGAUGAAGAUGGCGACUUGCAUUCGUAAGGUGGCCUCGGAGGAGUUUGGAGUGUCCAGGGGAAGGAGAAGCGAAGAUAAGGAUACCUGGUGGUGGAAUGAUGAUGUCCAGAAGGCGCUUAAAGAGAAGAAAGAUUGCUUCAGACGCCUAUACCUGGAUAGGAGUGCAGACAACAUAGAGAAGUACAAGAUGGCGAAGAAGACCGCAAAGCGAGCUGUUGGUGAAGCAAGGGGUCGGGCAUAUGAGGACCUCUACCAACGGUUAGGCACGAAGGAAGGUGAAAGGGACAUCUAUAAGAUGGCUAAGAUCCGGGAGAGGAAGACGAGGGAUAUUGGCCAAGUCAAAUGCAUCAAGGACGGAGCAGGCCAACCCUUGGUGAAGGACGAAGAGAUUAAGCAUAGAUGGCGGGAGUACUUCGACAAGCUGUUCAAUGGGGAGAAUGAGAGUUCUACCAUUGAACUGAAUGACUCCUUUGAUGAGACCAGCAUGCGUUUUGUGCGGCGCAUCCAGGAGUCUGAGGUGAAGGAGGCUUUAAAAAGGAUGAAAGGAGGCAAGGCGAUGGGCCCUGAUUGUAUCCCCAUUGAGGUGUGGAAAGGUCUCGGGGACAUAGCGAUAGUAUGGCUAACCAAACUUUUCAACCUCAUUUUUCGGGCAAACAAGAUGCCAGAAGAAUGGAGACGGAGUAUAUUAGUACCAAUCUUCAAGAACAAGGGAGAUGUUCAGAGUUGUACUAAUUACCGUGGAAUUAAGCUGAUGAGCCAUACAAUGAAGCUAUGGGAGAGAGUCAUUGAGCACCGCUUAAGAAGAAUGACAAGCGUGACCAAAAAUCAGUUUGGUUUCAUGCCUGGGAGGUCGACCAUGGAAGCCAUUUUCUUGGUACGACAACUUAUGGAGAGAUAUAGGGAGCAUAAGAAGGACUUGCAUAUGGUGUUCAUUGACUUGGAGAAGGCCUAUGAUAAGAUACCGCGGAAUGUCAUGUGGUGGGCCUUGGAGAAACACAAAGUCCCAGCAAAGUACAUUACCCUCAUCAAGGACAUGUACAAUAAUGUUGUGACAAGUGUUCGAACAAGUAAAGUCGACACCGAUGACUUCCCGAUUAAGAUAGGACUGCAUCAGGGGUCAGCUUUGAGCCCUUAUCUUUUUGCAUUGGUGAUGGAUGAGGUCACAAGGGGUAUACAAGGAGAUAUCCCAUGGUGUAUGCUCUUUGCGGAUGAUGUGGUGCUAGUUGACGAUAGUCGGACGGGGGUAAAUAGGAAGUUAGAGUUAUGGAGACAAACCUUGGAAUCGAAAGGGUUUAGGCUUAGUAGAACUAAAACCGAGUACAUGAUGUGCGGUUUCAGUACUACUAGCUGUGAGGAGGAGGAGGUUAGCCUUGAUGGCCAGGUGGUACCUCGGAAGGACACCUUUCGGUAUUUGGGGUCAAUGUUGCAGGAGGAUGGGGGUAUUGAUGAAGAUGUGAACCAUCGAAUCAAAGCCGGAUGGAUGAAGUGGCGCCAAGCUUCUGGCAUUCUCUGUGACAAGAGAGUGCCACAAAAGCUAAAAGGCAAGUUCUACAGGACGGCGGUUCGACCCGCAAUGUUGUAUGGCGCGAGUGUUGGCCGACUAAAAGGCGACAUGUUCAACAGUUAGGUGUGGCGGAGAUGCGUAUGUUGAGAUGGAUGUGUGGCCACACGAGGAAGGAUCGAGUCCGGAAUGAUGAUAUACGAGAUAGAGUUGGGGUAGCACCAAUUGAGGAGAAGCUUGUCCAACAUCGUUUGAGAUGGUUUGGGCAUAUUCAGCGCAGGCCUCCAGAAGCUCCAGUGCAUAGCGGACGGCUAAAGCGUGCGGAGAAUGUCAAGAGAGGGCGGGGUCGACCGAUUUUGACAUGGGAGGAGUCCGUUAAGAGAGACCUGAAGGAUUGGAGUAUCGACAAAGAGCUAGCUAUGGACAGGGGUGCGUGGAAGCUUGCUAUCCAUGUGCCAGAGCCAUGAGUUGGUUGCGAGAUCUUAUGGGUUUCACCUCUAGCCUACCCCAACUUGCUUGGGACUAAAGGCUUUGUUGUUGUUGUUGUUGUUGUUUGUAACUCCAAAAGUGGGUAAUUACAUGCCAACUAGUGGCUCUACAUGACAGUGAUGUUGUUGACUAGGAGACUUGGCUACUUCCUGCCAAGCCAAAGUUAGGUAAAUACAUACAGCCUACUGGCUUAUCUAGGUGAUGGUGAUGUUCUUGACUCCAGACCUCUAGAUUAAUGGGACCGAGUCCAAGUGUACUACUCUAGUCACAAUUCUGUCCUAGUCAUGAUAACAUGGAAUUCAAUGUCUUAAGACAAUGACAAAUAACAGGGACAGAAAAUGACAAAUACUAACUAAAUAUCAUUCAUUUGAGAUAUUAAAGUAGGGUAGAACUAAAGUAGUUCUAUUUUUUUUAAUAGAUCUACUUAUAGCUGAACUACUUUCUUACACCCCUCCUCUACAUAACUAACUACCAAAUUUUGUUUAAUAUCUUUAGCACCAAGUUUACAUUAUAUGGGCAGAUGCAUUUGAAAUUUACCUGGUUUCUAUUCCCUGCAAAUUGGAACGGAAAGCAUUUCAACAGCGCACGGCUGAUACCAUACAAAAAUAAAGUAAUAUCUGUUUUUUUUCCUUUACAGGAGUAACUGACAGCAUUUCCAUAGUGUCUGGCUAAUUAUUUCUGACGAUGACUGCACUACAGCCAGUCAGACUGUAAGCACUCCUCGUCGGUCAUUCAGCUAUCAAAAAAAGUCACCAAGCCAUAUCAUAGUACAAAACUAUCCACAUGUUGAUAGGGAGUCUAAAUAUGGUUGGUAUAUAUGCCAUAGAAAUCCCUAAUGUAUAUGAAAUGGUUUUCACUUCAAUUCACAUUCUGAUGGUAAACUGUACGGCAACAGAUGUUACAAUAAUUUGUAGUAGUACAGUUAAGAGUCACAGGGUGGUAAAACCAUGGAAUACACUGGCCAUAGCCAUGGCAGACUGGUUCACAGAAGCACAGACUGGAUAGCAAGGGUACUUACAACAGAAGUACGGUAACUGCAUACCAGCUACAGACUCUACGGACUUUACAUGACUGAUCUUCAUCAUAGCAAUGGGACCCAUGAAAAAUUGGUUGCUCAUUCAAGCACAGUCCUUUCAGAUAAUGAGGCUACAUACACUAGAACCUAACUUAAUUUACUUGGCAGGCAACCUUGGAGGUUCGGUACUCCCUCCGUUCACUUUUGUAAGAGGUUUUAGACAUUUAAGACAACACCUAAAACAGUUCAAUUUUGGCUGUCUAAAAUGUCUUACAUAAAUGAACAGAGGGAGUAUUCAACACUAUGUACUCUUUUCCUCUGAUCCAGUGAGCAAAGCCUAACGUGCAUGCUUGCUUGUCCAAACCACCUAGCUCAUUCACUUCGAUUAUCCACUCCCCUUAUAUUGGAUAGCAGUAUAUGAUACUGCCAUGAGACAUGGGUGCCAUAUACUGAAACUUUUUUUUGCGGGUAUAUACUGAAACUUUGCGCAAAAGAGUAGCAUAUCCUGAAAUCUGGCUUACAAUAUUCUUUUGUUGUGCUUGACUCGAAUAUCGCGUCAACUCUUCCUUUUUGAAGGCCAACUUGUGCUAUCAGGAAUUAAAUGGUAGAAUGUGAUAGGAAGGGAACUACUACUUGGAGACUAAGAAGAAAUAAUUAGUUGAGUCCACAGUGGUGAGCAGAAAAUGAAAGAGAACUUGAGCACGUGUUGGUCUAGCAUUAGAGGAAGAGUCAAAGUGCAUUCUGGUCCAAUUAUGUCAGUCUCCUAGUAAUGUGUGGAAUCCAACAGCAUAAAAAAAAAAGGCAACCUGGUGCAUGUAGCUCCCGCUUGCGCAGGGUCCAGGGAAGGGUCCGACCACUUUGGGUCUAUAGUACGCAGCCUUUCCCUACAUUUCUGUAAGAGGCUGUUUCCAGGACUUGAACCCAUGACCUCAUGGUCACAAGGCAGCAGCUUUACCACUGCGCCAUUAGUAAUGUGUGGAAUCCAACAGCAUAUAUAUUUUAAUUACAGGGAUAUGUACAUACAGCCAAGGGUGAUGAAGGCUUUAAAGCAACAAACUGCAGAAGGAUAUGUUUCGGUGGCAGUUGGACUUCCUGCCCAGACAUGUAACUAUCAUGACAAGUGCCACCCCAAUCCUCACCAGAGAUUAAAGCAGACAACCACUUUCUUAUACUCCAGACUUUCUCUUCUUCCAUCUAAAUCUCCAAUUCAUCUCAUGGAUUUUCCUAAACUUCUUGUCAUGCUAGUGCUGCUCUGUCUUCUAACCAAUGAAUCCUAUGUGGGUGCAGCAUCAGAUGAUGAGGAUUUCUUCAAGAAAUGCUCAUCACAACGGUGCAGCAAACAUGGACCAAAGAUCCAGUUCCCCUUCCGGCUUUCAACCCAACCAACAUCCUGUGGAGCAGCUGGCAUGCAGUUAUCAUGCUCUGGGCAUGACACGAUCUUGGAUCACCCUGUUCUUGGUUCUUGCAAAGUGACUGCGAUAUAUUACAUGCACCGCGUCAUUAACAUCAUCCCGCUUGUGGAACCAUUGACGCAAUGCCCACUUCAGAAGCUCAUCUCGAGAAAGUUAGAAACUGGUGUGUACAAACAACCUCAAUCAUUUACGACCCUGGUACGUUGUUCCAAGAAUUUCAUACCAGCAGAUCCAUAUAGUAUAGUCGGCCCAGCUCCUUGUGUCAGUAGCAACGCUAGCCAAUUCUUGUAUUUGGCAUUAGCUUCCGCAUACAUAUCUGAUCUACCAUGGGACUGUGUGGCCAUUUCUAAAGGUAUCCCGAUACCCUUCAGCUAUGAUAAACAUGGCCCUAACUCGGACCCCUCCAGUGAAAUAGCAAAGGCAGUCGUCAACUUUGGUGCGACAACCUUCACUUGGCACCUCAGUAACAUUACCGAUGUCUGCCAACAGUGUGAACAUCAAGGUCGAUACUGUGGAUUCAGCUCACAAAGGCGUCAAGCAUUCUGCCAGCACCAUGGUAUUAUUUCUUUCCCUAACUGAAAUCCAUAUAUCAUUAUGGUGUGGAAAUUUAUUUAAGAACAGCAUUAUAGAUUUUCUGCUUCUCAAUGUACUAGUUUGUUGAUCUCCUAUAUUCUGAUGUUAACUGUGUUUAAUCUUCCGACAGAAUUCUCAAUCUAGUAGUUAUAUUAUUUAACAAACAAAAUUGUAUUGCAAAUCAGAGAAAUCGUUAAGUUGCUUGAGCACAUACAGUCUCUAGGUUCACAUCCAUGAAAGUUCCCCAAAGAAAAAACAUUUAUCAAGAGAUGCAAGUGCCAAAUUAUAUGGGAAAACUUAUGAUGGUUGACUAAUUUGUAAAAUUCUUGGGCAACAAAAAGUAAGAGCUGAACCUUAUUUGACCAUUUUCAUAUUUGUUUAGUUUUUCAGAUUGGAUAUGAAUAAAUAAGUGUACAGCUAUAACAUAACAAAGAAUAUAUUAAUCGAUAUAACACCCUAUGUUCGAGGUCCAAUAUACUUGAAGCCAACAGGAAGCUACCAAAUAUAUAUGUCCACAGAGAACUCGUGUAAGAAUCAGGAAUUAGUUGUUCCAAACAUAAUUCAUAGAGUAAUGAAGUAGUCUUCUGUUUCUGUCUACAUUAAAAUUAAAGCAUGGAAAAACUAAUGAUAUUCUUCCUACAUGCAGGUACCCAUGUCAUCCCAAUUGCGGGUAAUGUUGCAACUCUUUUCCUUUUUCUCAUUCUAGAUGAAAUUCUUAUUGCUUACCACUGUGAAUCUUUUGUGUUUCCUCAUUACAAUAAGAGUCAGGAAUGCAUGGCCUCUUAUCUGAAUGCAACUCGCUAAUUUCCUUUUUUUUUAAUCAGCAGCCUCAUCUGUAGCUGCAUUUGUAGUUCUUUCAUUGAUUGUGGCCACUGUGAUAUAUCUCUCCUUGAAGUCAAGGUACAAUGAAGAGAUAAAUAUGAAGGUUGAAAUGUUUCUCAAGGCAUAUGGCACAUCGAAACCUACAAGAUACACCUUCCCUGAUGUUAAGAAGAUAGCAAGAAGGUUCAAGGAUAAACUCGGUCAGGGCGGAUUCGGAAGUGUGUACAAAGGCGAGCUACCAAAUGGAGUACCUGUGGCAGUCAAGAUGCUAGAGAGUUCUACAGGAGAGGGGGAGGAAUUCAUCAAUGAAGUUGCAACCAUUGGACUAAUCCACCAUGCAAAUAUCGUACGCCUCUUGGGCUUUUGCUCUGAAGGAAUGAGACGGGCCCUUAUUUAUGAAUUCAUGCCUAAUGAGUCACUGGAGAAAUACAUAUUCACACAUGUUUCUAAUAUUUCUCGACAACUCCUAGCACCCAACAAAAUGUUAGAUAUUGCUUUAGGCAUUGCCCGAGGAAUGGAAUACAUGCAUCAAGGUUGCAACCAGCGGAUUCUCCACUUUGACAUCAAGCCACACAACAUCCUGCUGGACUACAACUUCAAUCCAAAGAUCUCUGACUUUGGCCUUGCAAAGCUGUGUGCAAGGGACCAAAGCAUUGUUACGCUCACAGCAGCCAGAGGAACUAUGGGAUACAUCGCACCGGAGCUAUACUCUCGAAACUUUGGAGGGGUGUCAUACAAGUCAGAUGUGUAUAGUUUUGGCAUGCUGGUGUUGGAAAUGGUGAGUGGAAGGAGGAACUCAGACCCAAGUGUUGAGAUCCAGGACGAGGUAUACCUCCCUGAGUGGAUCUAUGAGAAAGUGAUUUCUAGGCAGGAAUGGGAGCUUACUCUGGAAAUGACAGCAGAAGACAAAGACAAGAUUAGACAGCUGAGUAUUGUGGGGCUGUGGUGCAUCCAGUGGAACCCAAAGAAUAGGCCGUCGAUGACGAAGGUGGUAAACAUGUUAACUGGGAGGCUGCAGAACCUGCAGAUUCCACCAAAGCCCUUUGUGUCGUCUGACAUUCGUCCUAUGCCACAGAACACGACGAACACAUGAACAUGCAUUGUGUGUGUUUUUGUGUGUAUCAUUACACGCCUGAGGGAACUUAUCUCGCAUCUGCGUUGUAAACUGUAAUUCCUUGGCCAAUGUUCGAUUACAUACUGAACUACAUGGGAUUUUGCAGUACCGCUAACACUGCAUCUGUAUCUUACUACCAUAUUGUAAUUCUAUUAAUUAGAAACACACGGCACUGGAUUUUGCAGCCAUUUCUUGGCAAUGCUGUGAUAAUAUGAAUCUUAACCAGUCAUUGAUGUGAUUUUAUCCCCUUUCCGCCAUAACUGAUAGUACUGCUGUAAGCUCUUUCUAAUACAGAGAUGCGCAUAUAGGCUGCUUAUAUUCUAGAAAAAGAGAUUACUUACUACUGGUAGAAACUCAGCAUUCUUGUUCGGAAAUCAAAAGAAGAGCAAAGGGGAUUACUCACCAUGGCAGACAGCUUCCGCCGGAGUCCCUCGCCGGAGCCCCGAUGAGACGCGAGCGAGGCGGUGUGCCGGAGUAGGACGAGGAGCUCGCCCAGCCGGCGGAGAAUGUGAGCGGUAACUGGGCGAGCUCGACUGCGUCGCCGGCCGCCGGCCGCCGGCAGCCGCCUAGGGUACAAACUGGCACCCGUUCCCCAUUUGGAUAAACCAGAGUUUUUUUUUUGUUUUUGGACAAACGGAUAAACAAGAGUAGGGCCUUUGUUGGGCCGCCCUGUGGGCUGACCCAUCUCAUGCUAACAAACAAUACGAAGAAUUGGUCAGAAAUUUUGAUCGCACUGGGGAUUGUUGGGCCGCCCUGUCGGCAGCUAUUCGUUUUCAAAAUUUAUACUUAGUUCGCAAAAAGAACUAUUCAAUUUUUUUCCUCCACACGAUUCUAUAAAAAAAAUUGGGUUCCACCAUGUACGAACAAAAAGGUAAAAUAAACUAUUCAAACUUUUCUUUUCUUCCAUAUAUGAUCCCUACAAAAUAGGAUUCCACAAUCAAAAGACAACGGAACAAAAGGUCAAAUUUGAGACGAAAAUUUCUGUUUUAAGGUAUUAGACAACAUCUAACAGUUCCCUGAUCAUAUACUCCUUAACUUAUAAUUUUUAUCUCUUGAAACUUUCCCUCACUUCCCUACUUUUACUUCAAUAAAGAUGCGCAACUCUCGGGAUAAGUGAGGAGUUGCUCACCUUCCAAAGUAAUGCAUAAGUGGUUCGCGCGUCACCCGAGUCGAUCACCACCGGUUAUAAAACCCUGGCACCACGCCCCCAAAUCCUAAGGCUAGCCAUAGUGGGGGUAACUUAGAUAGUAACUUAACACAUCCCAAGACAAUUUUGUUUAUGUGGCAAGUAUUUAAUGAGAAAAUAGGUGCUUGUGGUAACAUAAUAUGUUACUAUAACAUAACGCUUUCCAAGGCAAAAUGAGUCUAUGGGCUAAUAAAUAAAGCAAUCUAUGACACUACUAGUAUGUUACUUUGCACUAUGAAGCUAGUAACUUAGAUGCAUGACACUAGUAUAAGUUACUCCCCACUAUGACCAGCCUAAAACUCACCUCCCCCCACCCCAUUUUUGUUGCCUCCUCUAUCGAUUUGGUUUGCCGCCUCCGCCAUCCUCGAGCUUGACCUCGUCGCUACCCUUGAGCACCGCCGCACCCAAGCUCCGCACUGCCACCCCAAUCUCCCAUGCCUCCUUGAUACGUCUUUAACGUAUUUAUAAUUUUUUUAUUCUUUCAUGCUAUUAUAUUAUCAAUCUUGUCAGCUUUAUAUGCAAUUUUAUAUUUAGAACUAACCUAUUACUCUAGUGCCAGUGGUAAUUCCUAUUUUUGCCUCUUUUAUUAUUUCGCAAAAAACAAUACCAAAUGAAGUCCAAACGCGAUGAAACUUUACAGUGAUGAAAUGGCAGAGCACCACCAUGUUGAGCCCCUGACCCCCUGGACUCCCAAGGUCGAGCCUUCACGAAGUAACCGAUGCCAAUGUGUCGUCACCACUGUGAAACACAAUGGUUGGAACACCGUACCCUGUUCUGGGCGACGACUUCGUGUUAUAUAGCAGGGUCGCGACUCCCUGAUCGCGUACAUGAGGUGGUUCAGAUUACAACUUGUAGUGCAAGCGAUAGACUAGGAGGUUACAGAGAGAUAAGAUGAAAUCCUAACAACCUAGCUAUCUGCCGUACGCCAAGAGGUCAGGGCCUUCUUGUCACGUACGUUUAACACCCUCCCUUAAUCACAACUUUGCAAGUUGAGAUUACACUUGAAUUCUUCAAAGUUCCUUGUAGGCAGCGCCUUUGUGAAGCUAUCUGCAACCUGGUCUCUGGAAUGCACAAAACAAAUCUCCAAUUGUCUGUUAGCAACUCUUUCUCUAACAAAGUGGAAAUCUAUCUCAAUGUGUUUUGUUCGUGCAUGAAAGACAGGGUUAGCGGAUAAAUAUGUUGCACCCAGAUUGUCACACCAUAAGCAUGGAGCCUGAGUGCAUUUCACACCAAGUUCCUUUAACAUGGACUGAACCCAAAUGAUCUCUGCUGUGGCAUUGGCAAGUGCCUUGUAUUCAGCUUCUGUACUUGAUCUUGACACAGUAGCUUGUUUCUUAGCACACCAAGAUAUGAGAUUGGGUCCAAAGAACACAGCAAACCCAUCAGUAGAGCGUCUGUCAUCCAAACAACCUGCCCAGUCAGAGUCAGAAAACACACUGACAAGAGUAGAUGAAGAUUUGCUAAAGGUGAGACCAACACUCAUAGUGUUUUUGAUAUAUCUCACUAUACGCUUGGCAGCAGUCCAGUGAACUGUGGUGGGUGCAUGGAGGAAUUGGCACACUUUGUUGACAGCAAAUAAGAUAUCAGGCCUUGUUAGGGUGAGGUAUUGAAGUGCUCCAACUAAACUUCUGUACCUGGUGCUGUCAUCCUGACUCAAUGGAUCACCUUCUACAAGGGACAAUUUUUCUGUGCUAGACAAGGGAGUUGGUGAAGGUUUGCAAUCUUUCAGACCAACUCUUCUUACCAAAUCAACAGCAUAUUUUUCCUGAGAGAGAUGCAGACUGUCUCCAAGCUUCUUCACUUUAAUGCCUAAGAAGAAGUGCAAAUCUCCCAGAUCCUUGAGAGCAAACUCAGCACUCAAAUCCUUUAACAGUCAUGUCACUGCCUCAUCAGAUGAACUUGUGACAAUAAUAUCAUCAACAUAAAUGAGCACAAAUAUGGAUGUUUUGAACUUGUUGUAAAUAAACAGUGAUGUGUCAGACUUGGAAGAAACAAAACCAAGUUCUUGCAGUUUCUGACUGAGACGUGAAUACCACGCCCUAGGAGCCUGCUUCAAUCCAUAAAGAGCUUUAUCAAGCUUACAUACGUGGAAGGGUGAGUUUUUGUCGACGAACCCAGGAGGUUGUUUCAUGUACACUUCCUCCUCCAGAACACCAUGCAGAAACGCGUUCUGAACAUCUAGCUGUCUAAGGCUCCAACCCCUGGAAAGAGCAAUAGAUAGAACAAGACGGAUGGUAGCAGCUUUAACAACGGGACUAAAGGUGUCCUCAUAAUCUAUGCCAUACCGUUGCUUAAAACCUUUUGCUACUAGUCUUGCUUUAUAACGGUCUAUGGUUCCAUCAUAUUUUCUCUUAAUCCUGUAGACCCACUUACAGUCAAUUAAAUUUUUACCUCAUGGUGUCGGAACCAAGUGCCAUGUUUUAUUUUUCUGAAGUGCCAUAUAUUCUUCUUCCAUAGCCCUCUUCCAACAAGCAUCUCCAAGUGCUUCAUCCAGAGAGUUUGGUUCUCCUGUAGAACACGCCAGACCAAAUUUGGUUACACGUUUGUAAUUAAUAGGCUGGAUUACCCCUUUCUGAAGACGUGUACGUGGCGAAGAAGGAGCUGGCGCAGAGGAUCCGGCAGCUGACGAUCCCAGCAAUCCCGAGGCAGAUUCCCCCGAUGCAGCAGGAUUUUCUAUGGCUUCUGAAGUAGACGGAGUGGAGAGGGGCGGCACAGAAGAUCCCGCACCGCAUCCCGAAGAGGCAACCGGCCCAUCAUGCUGCAAUGAUGGCGCGGGCCUGAGCGGAUCUGCACCGGAUCGCGCGCCUACGUCUGGAGCAGCAUCGGAUCGACCGCCUGUCAAAUCCGCACUGGACCGCGGGCGCCUGGUGUAGUGGCACGGCCCACCAGCAGGCCAGCGAGCCGCAACAGGCCGCGUGGAUGUGGAGGAUUGGUGCGGGCCAGGUGCCGUGUCGGAGCCAGCCGCACCAAGCCGCGUGCCAGCCGCUGAGUGGACAGCGCCGCGCCUGGUAGAAGGCGACGCGGUUUUUGUGGCGCUGGCGUUCUGCAGCCGCGCUGAUCCCGAGGAAGAUUGGCUGCUGGGCUGCUGCAACCCUGAUCCCGAGGGAGAUAUGCCCCCAAACGCAGGACACAUGAAAUCAUGCCUGUUUAGGAUCGUUUCUUCACCAAUUUCAGUAGUUUCUUGUCCACCUUUUUCCUGAGAUGUAUCUGCAUCAUCACAAUACUCAUGCACACGGUUAUGAGGAUUAGUCAACAAAGGAUCAUCACAAUUAUUUUCCCCAUGCUCAAGGCCGGUAAGAUGAGAUGGUAAGAGUAAUAUUUCUUUGCGAAGGAGAGCACCGGCGUUUGGAUGGAGGUCAGCAGAGGGGAAUUUUGUUUCGUCGAACACGACAUCACGGGAGAUAUAGACACGUCCGGUGGAUAUGUCAAGACACUUCACCCCUUUAUGUUGAGCACUAUAUCCGAUAAAAGCACACUGUUUUGAGCGAAACAUGAGCUUGCGAUUGUUGUAUGGCCUGAGGUUAGGCCAACAGGCGCAUCCAAACACACGAAGAGCUGUGUAGUCUGGUUUAACUUGAAGAAGUCGUUCAAUGGGUGUUUCAUUAUUAAUGACACGACUAGGCAGUAUGUUGAUAAGAUGGACGGCGGUGAGGAAUGCCUCAUCCCAAAAUUUGAGGGGCAUAGAUGCACCAGCUAGAAGAGCAAGACCAACCUCUACGAUGUGUCUGUGUUUGCGUUCUGCAGACCCGUUUUGUUGGUGAGCGUGAGGACAGGAGACAUGGUGAGAUAUGCCAAGUUCUUGAAAUAAAGAGUUGAGUUUUUCAUAUUCCCCGCCCCAGUCGGACUGGACGGCUAUGAUUUUGCUAUCGAAUUUUCGUUCAACAAGAGCUUGAAAGUUUUUGAAAACUUGGAACACUUCGGAUCUUUUCUUUAAAAGAUAGAUCCAUGAGUAUUUGCUAUAGUCAUCAAUGAAACUAACGUAGUAUGUAUGUCUACCAACAGAGGAGGGUGCAGGGCCCCAAACAUCAGAAAAAAUAAGUUGCAAAGGUUUGGUAGAAAUACUAGUAGACACAGGAUAAGGUAGUUGAUGACUCUUAGCUCGCUGACAUGAAUCACAAAUUGUUUCGACAUUGUGUUCUCAAACAAAUGGGAGCUUAUUUUUCCUAAGCAAUUUCUCAACUAAAGAAAAAGAUGCAUGUCCUAAACGAUCAUGCCAUCGUGUAGACGAAAGUUUGGUGGCACUAAAAACUUGUUUAUUGAAUCUUCGAAUCUCUGAAAUCAACGGGUAGAGUCCAUGAACGCAUCUACCUCGAUACAACACCUUCCUCGUUGCCUGAUCCUUGAUCAAAAAGAAGAAGGGGUGAAACUCAAGAAAUACAUGGUUAUCAAUGGCAAUGCGAUGAACGGAGAGAAGGUUCAUUGAGGCACUAGGAACAUGCAAAAUUUUCCUAAGAUGAAUUUUCCUACGAGGGGUUUUAAUAAUUGAAUGACCAAUGUGACCGAUCUUCAUACCUUCUCCACUAGCAGUGUGGAUGUGAUCUUGCCCGCGGUAUUGUUCCCGCAUGGUCACCUUCUCGAGUUCACCGGUGAUGUGGUUCGUGGCUCCACUAUCCACAUACCAGUUUGUGUCCACGCCAUAUGAUCCAUCUGCUGCACCCGCCAUCUUCUCAUCUUGAUCUGAAUCCUCAUCUUCAUCAAACCUGUACCAGCAGUCCUUGGCUGAAUGGCCAGGCUUGCCGCAGAUCUGACAACGGAUGGCGUCAGGGCGCUUGGUGGAGUUGUUGCGGCGGCCCCUGUUGUUGUUGUUGGAGGAGGUGACCGCCGCCGUUGCUGCCAUUCCCGCGUGCAUCGCUGCGAGAGUCGCUGCGGGAGUUGUUGUAGUUGGUGCCUCCUGCACUCCUGCCCUUCCCGCGCGGCGGCCCGCGGUACCGUGAGCCACCACCUCGGCCGCGCAUGGCGGCGUUAGCAUACGACUUGAAGCCGCCGUUGGUACCCUGGAACAAGGCCACCCUCUGAUCGAAGUUACUCAUCUGAGCAAACAGUUCGUCAAGGGUGACAGGUGAGGUGCGCGCGUCGAGGGCGGAGACGAGGGGCUGGUACUCCAUGUCCAGGACGGCGAGGAUGUAGGAGAUGAGCUCGUCCUCGUCAAGGGGCUUGCCCGCCACGGCCAGUUCGUCGGCGAGGGAGCGCAUGUGCGCGAAGAAGGCCGCGGCGGACUAAGUGCCCUUCUGAGCGUUGGACAGCGCGACGCGGAUGUUGUUGAUGCGUGACAGCGACUGGGACGAAAACAUGUUCGCCACCGCUGUCCACAGCUCAUGGGCAUGGGCGAUCGAUGUCACCUGCACGAGCACCUCCUUGGAAAGGUUAUUGAGAAGGUAUCCUAGUACCUGUUGGUCUUCCCGGAACUAGAUCGGGUGAAGGGGGUUGGGUGUGGUGACCUCCUUCCCGUCUUUGUCCUUGUUGACGACGACCUUGGGCGGCUCCGGCGUGCUGCCAUCCACAUAGCCGAAGACGCCAGCACCAUGAAGCUGAGGCGUGAUCUGGGUCCGCCAGAGGAUGAAGUUGGUGCGGGUAAGCUUCUCGGUGAUCUGGCCAAAGAGACCAGGGCUGGUGGUGGAGGACGAGGCCAUGGCAGAAGCUUUCUGGUAGCUAGAUGCAAUGGAGGAGUUAGGCUCUGUAUACCAUGUGAAACACAAUGGUUGGAACGUCGUACCCUGUUCUGGGCGACGGCUUCGUGUUAUAUAGCAGGGUCGUGACUCCCUGAUCGCGUACAUGAGGUGGUUCAGAUUACAACUUGUAGUGCAAGGGAUAGACUAGGAGGUUACAGAGAGAUAAGAUGAAAUCCUAACAACCUAGCUAUCUGCCGUACGCCAAGGGGCCAGGGCCUUCUUGUCACGUACGUUUAACAACCACCCAAUCAAGAGGUUUUAGCCUUUCACCCGGGACCAGGGGGCGGAGGGCAGGGAGAAGAUCUCAAUGUCUCCCACCAGAGGGAGAAACGGCGCCGAGAGCGUCGCCAACAUCAUGACCGGCACCGCCCAUCAAGGGUUUCACCCGACCCUGAGCCCGCAUCUCCACUUCAUCGCCAACCAUCAAAGCAGGAUGCCCGGGGGCAGGCCACAUCCCGGCUUGUGGAGGAGAACAAGCGCCGCUGCAAAUGCCAUCUUCAGAUUGGGACCAGGCCCGCCGCCGCCUUGUCGCCCAGCACAACCAAGACGGCACACCGUGUAAGAUGUGGGAAUCACGUGUUGUAUUCCUCAGGUGCAAACGCAUGUAUAUAUGAUGUACAAAAGGUGGGCCACGACCUCGACUAUACAAGGAACUAGGAGGUGGGCCUAAUACAUAGAUAUGCACAACACAUAUACUCAACACCCCCCACAGUCGAAGCGGCACCGCUGCUGACGAAAAGACUGGACCGAACUCCUCAAAUGACGCCGUAGGCAAGCCCUUGGUCAUGAUAUCUGCAAAUUGUUGGGAAGUAGGGACGUGUAAAACACGAAUAUGGCCAAGGGCCACCUGUUCCCGAACAAAAUGAAUAUCCAACUCAAUAUGCUUGGUCCGUCGAUGAUGCACUGGAUUAGCGGAGAGGUAGACCGCCGAGACGUUGUCACAAUAGACCACUGUGGCACGGACAAUAGGGCAGGAGAACUCCUGAAGCAGCUGGUGAAGCCACGAACAUGAAGGAAAUAUGCCCUAGAGGCAAUAAUAAAGUUAUUAUUUAUUUCCUUAUGUCAUGAUAAAUGUUUAUUAUUCAUGCUAGAAUUGUAUUAACCGGAAACAUAAUACAUGUGUCAAUACAUAGACAAACAGAGUGUCACUAGUAUGCCUCUACUUGACUAGCUCAUUAAUCAAAGAUGGUUAUGUUUCCUAACCAUGGACAAAGAGUUGUUAUUUGAUUAACGGGAUCACAUCAUUAGGUGAAUGAUCUGAUUGACAUGACCCAUUCCAUUAGCUUAGCACCCGAUCGUUUAGUAUGUUGCUAUUGCUUUCUUCAUGACUUAUACAUGUUCCUAUGACUAUGAGAUUAUGCAACUCCCGUUUGCUGGAGGAACACUUUGUGUGCUACCAAACGUCACAAUGUAACUGGGUGAUUAUAAAGGUGCUCUACAGGUGUCUCCAAAGGUACAUGUUGGGUUGGCGUAUUUCGAGAUUAGGAUUUGUCACUCCGAUUGUCAGAGAGGUAUCUCUGGGCCCUCUCGGUAAUGCACAUCACAUAAGCCUUGCAAGCAUUGCAACUAAUGAGUUAGUUGUGAGAUGAUGUAUUACGGAACGAGUAAAGAGACUUGCCGGUAACGAGAUUGAACUAGGUAUUGAGAUACCGACGAUCGAAUCCCGGGCAAGUAACAUACCGAUGACAAAGGGAACAACGUAUGUUGUUAUGCGGUCUGACCAAUAAAGAUCUUCGUAGAAUAUGUAGGAGCCAAUAUGAGCAUCCAGGUUCCGCUAUUGGUUAUUGACCGGAGAUGUGUCUCGGUCAUGUCUACAUUGUUCUUGAACCGUAGGGUCCGCACGCUUAACGUUAUGAUGACAGUUUCAUUACGAGUUUAUGUAUUUUGAUGUACCGAAGUUUGUUCGGGGUCCCGGAUGUGAUCACGGACAUGACGAGGAGUCUCGAAAUGGUCGAGACAUAAAGAUCGAUAUAUUGGACGGCUAUAUUCGGACACCGGAAAUGUUUCGGGUGAUUUCGGAGAAAACCGGAGUGCCGGAGGGUUACCGGAACCCCUCGGGAGUAGUAAUGGGCCUUAUGGGCCUUAGUGGAGAGAGAGAGAGGCGGCUAGGGUGGGCCGCGCGCCCCUCCCCCUCUGGUCCGAAUUGGACUAGGAGAGGGGGGGCGGCGCCCGCCUUUCCUUCUCCCUCUCCCCCUUCCUUUCCCCCUCCUAGUAGGAGUAGGAAAGAGGGAGUCCUACUCCUACUAGGAGGAGGAUUCCUCCUCCCUGGCGCGCCCCAAGGGCCGGCCGGCCUCCCCCCUUGCUCCUUUAUAUACGGGGGCAGGGGGCACCUCUAGACACACAAGUUGAUCUUCGUGAUCGUUCCUCAGCCGUGUGCGGUGCCCCCUCCACCAUAUUCCACCUCGGUCAUAUUGUAGCGGUGCUUAGGCGAAGCCCUGCGACGGUAGAACAUCAAGAUCGUCACCACGCUAUCGUGCUGACGGAACUCCUCCCCGAUGCUUUGCUGGAUCGGAGCCCGGGGAUCGUCAUCGAGCUGAACGUGUGCCAAGAACUCGGAGGUGCCGGAGUAACGGUGCUUGGAUCGGUCGGAUCGGGAAGACGUACGACUACUUCCUCUAUGUUGCGUCAACGCUUCCGCUUCGGUCUACGAGGGUACGUAGACAACACUCUCCCCUCUCGUUGCUAUGCAUCACCAUGAUCUUGCGUGUGUGUAGGAAUUUUUUUGAAAUUACUACGUUCCCCAAUAGUGGCAUCCAAGCCUAGGUUUUAUGUGUUGAUGUUAUAUGCACGAGUAGAACACAAGUGAGUUGUGGGCGAUAUAAGUCAUACUGCUUACCAGCAUGUCAUACUUUGGUUCGGCGGUAUUGUUGGAUGAAGCGGCCCGGACCGACAUUACGCGCACGCUUACGCGAGACUGGUUCUACCGCCGUGCUUUGCACACAGGUGGCUGGCGGGUGUCAGUUUCUCCAACUUUAGUUGAACCGAGUGUGGCUACGCCCGGUCCUUGCAAAGGUUAAAACAGCACCAACUUGACAAACUAUCGUUGUGGUUUUGAUGCGUAGGUAAGAUUGGUUCUUGCUUAAGCCCGUAGCAGCCACGUAAAACUUGCAACAAACAAAGUAGAGGACGUCUAACUUGUUUUUGCAGGGCAUGUUGUGAUGUGAUAUGGUCAAGGCAUGAUGCUAAAUUUUAUUGUAUGAGAUGAUCAUGUUUUGUAACCGAGUUAUCGGCAACUGGCAGGAGCCAUAUGGUUGUCGCUUUAUUGUAUGCAAUGCAAUCGCCUUGUAAUGCUUUACUUUAUCACUAAGCGGUAGCGAUAGUCGUAGAAGCAUAAGAUUGGCGAGACGACAACGAUGCUACGAUGGAGAUCAAGGUGUCGCGCCGGUGACGAUGGUGAUCAUGACGAUGCUUCGGAGAUGGAGAUCACAAGCACAAGAUGAUGAUGGC